rnacentral:rRNA from 1 species
AGUGAACGCUGGCGGUAGGCCUAACACAUGCAAGUCGAACGGCAGCCCAGGAGAGCUUGCUCUCUGGGUGGCGAGUGGCGGACGGGUGCGGAAGACAUCGGAAUCUACUUUUUCGUGGGGGAUAACGUAGGGAAACUUACGCUAAUACCGCAUACGACCUACGGAUGAAAGCAGUUGACCUUCGGGCCUUGCGCGAUUGAAUGAGCCGAUGUCGGAGUAGCUAGUUGGCGGGGUAAAGGCCCACCAAGGCGGCGAUGCGUAGCUGGUCUGAGAGGAUGAUCAGCCACACUGGAACUGAGACACGGGCCAGACUCCUACGGGAGGCAGCAGUGGGAAUAUUGGACAAUGGGCGCAAGCCUGAUCCAGCCAUACCGCGUGGGUGAAGAAGGCCUUCGGGUUGUAAAGCCCUUUUGUUGGGAAAGAAAUCCAGCUGGCUAAUACCCGGUUGGGAUGACGGUACCCAAAGAAUAAGCACCGGCUAACUUCGUGCCAGCAGCCGCAGUAA